CUACGGGAGGCUGCAGUGGGGAAUAUUGGACAAUGGGGGAAACCCUGAUCCAGCAAUGCCGCGUGUGUGAAGAAGGCCUGCGGGUUGUAAAGCACUUUCGGUUGGGAGGACUGCUUCUAGCACUAAUAUUGUUGGAAGUUGACGUUACCUUCAGAAGAAGCACCGGCUAACUCCGUGCCAGCAGCCGCGGUAAUACGGAGGGUGCAAGCGCUAAUCGGAAUUACUGGGCGUAAAGCGCGCGUAGGCGGCUAGAUCAGUCGGGUGUGAAAGCCCCGGGCUUAACCUGGGAACUGCAUCCGAUACUGGCUAGCUGGAGUACAGGAGAGGGGAGUGGAAUUCCACAUGUAGCGGUGAAAUGCGUAGAUAUGUGGAGGAACACCAAUGGCGAAGGCAGCUCUCUGGCCUGAUACUGACGCUGAGGUGCGAAAGCGUGGGGAGCAAACAGGAUUAGAUACCCGUGUAGUC
rnacentral:rRNA from 1 species